UAACUGAAGAGUUUGAUCAUGGCUCAGAUUGAACGCUGGCGGCAGGCUUAACACAUGCAAGUCGAGCGGGGGAAGGUAGCUUGCUACUGGACCUAGCGGCGGACGGGUGAGUAAUGCUUAGGAAUCUGCCUAUUAGUGGGGGACAACAUCUCGAAAGGGAUGCUAAUACCGCAUACGUCCUACGGGAGAAAGCAGGGGAUCUUCGGACCUUGCGCUAAUAGAUGAGCCUAAGUCGGAUUAGCUAGUUGGUGGGGUAAAGGCCUACCAAGGCGACGAUCUGUAGCGGGUCUGAGAGGAUGAUCCGCCACACUGGGACUGAGACACGGCCCAGACUCCUACGGGAGGCAGCAGUGGGGAAUAUUGGACAAUGGGGGGAACCCUGAUCCA
rnacentral:rRNA from 1 species